AUGUGCCACCAGCCAAGGAAGUUCAGCAAGUGCUCAAAAGCCCGCUCGCAGAGGGCCGGCCUGCAGUUCCCCGUGGGCCGCAUCCAUCGACACCUGAAGUCCAGGACAACCAGCCACGGGCACGUGGGCGCCACGGCCGCCGUAUAUAGCGCGGCCAUCCUGGAGUACCUCACGGCGGAGGUGCUUGAACUGGCAGGAAAUGCAUCCAAAGACCUGAAAGUAAAGCGCAUUAUCCCUCGACACUUGCAACUUGCCAUUCGUGGGGAUGAAGAAUUGGACUCGCUCAUCAAAGCUACAAUUGCGGGAGGUGGUGUCAUCCCACAUAUCCACAAGUCUCUGAUUGGGAAGAAAGGACAACAGAAGACUGUGUAAAGGAUGCCU